AGUGAACGCUGGCGGUAGGCCUAACACAUGCACGUCGAACGGCAGCACAGUAAGAGCUUGCUCUUACGGGUGGCGAGUGGCGGACGGGUGAGGAAUACAUCGGAAUCUACUUUUUCGUGGGGGAUAACGUAGGGAAACUUACGCUAAUACCGCAUACGACCUACGGGUGAAAGCAGGGGAUCUUCGGACCUUGCGCGAUUGAAUGAGCCGAUGUCGGAUUAGCUAGUUGGCGGGGUAAAGGCCCACCAAGGCGACGAUCCGUGGCUGGUCUGAGAGGAUGAUCAGCCACACUGGAACUGAGACACGGUCCAGACUCCUACGGGAGGCAGCAGUGGGGAAUAUUGGACAAUGGGCGCAAGCCUGAUCCAGCCAUACCGCGUGGGUGAAGAAGGCCUUCGGGUUGUAAAGCCCUUUUGUUGGGAAAGAAAAGCAGCAGGUUAAUACCCCGCUGUUCUGACGGUACCCAAAGAAUAAGCACCGGCUAACUUCGUG
rnacentral:rRNA from 1 species